ACGGGUGAGUAACGCGUGGGAAUCUACCGUGCCCUGCGGAAUAGCUCCGGGAAACUGGAAUUAAUACCGCAUACGCCCUACGGGGGAAAGAUUUAUCGGGGUAUGAUGAGCCCGCGUUGGAUUAGCUAGUUGGUGGGGUAAAGGCCUACCAAGGCGACGAUCCAUAGCUGGUCUGAGAGGAUGAUCAGCCACAUUGGGACUGAGACACGGCCCAAACUCCUACGGGAGGCAGCAGUGGGGAAUAUUGGACAAUGGGCGCAAGCCUGAUCCAGCCAUGCCGCGUGAGUGAUGAAGGCCUUAGGGUUGUAAAGCUCUUUCACCGGAGAAGAUAAUGACGGUAUCCGGGGAAGAAGCCCCGGCUAACUUCGUGCCAGCAGCCGCGGUAAUACGAAGGGGGCUAGCGUUGUUCGGAAUUACUGGGCGUAAAGCGCACGUAGGCGGAUAUUUAAGUCAGGGGUGAAAUCCCAGAGCUCAACUCUGGAACUGCCUUUGAUACUGGGUAUCUUGUGUAUGGAAGAGGUAAGUGGAAUUCCGAGUGUAGAGGUGAAAUUCGUAGA
rnacentral:rRNA from 1 species